rnacentral:sRNA from 1 species
AUGUUCAAGUCAGCCAAACGUGUGCUUAAUUGUCAUAAUAAUUUGACAAAUUAAUUUCACUAUCUCACGCGUAAACCUUGACAUAAGUUUUAUAUCUUCUACACCUGCAGUAAGACUACGUCUAUUAUC